ACAGGGAUUGCCCCAGUAACGGCGAGUGAAGCGGCAACAGCUCAAAUUUGAAAUCUGGCUCUCGGGCCCGAGUUGUAAUUUGUAGAGGAUGCUUUUGGUGAGGUGCCUUCCGAGUUCCCUGGAACGGGACGCCAUAGAGGGUGAGAGCCCCGUCUGGUUGGACACCGAUCCUCUGUAAAGCUCCUUCGACGAGUCGAGUAGUUUGGGAAUGCUGCUCUAAAUGGGAGGUAUAUGUCUUCUAAAGCUAAAUACCGGCCAGAGACCGAUAGCGCACAAGUAGAGUGAUCGAAAGAUGAAAAGAACUUUGAAAAGAGAGUUAAACAGUACGUGAAAUUGUUGAAAGGGAAGCGCUUGUGACCAGACUUGGGCUUGGUUGAUCAUCCGGGGUUCUCCCCGGUGCACUCUUCCGGCUCAGGCCAGCAUCAGUUCGCCCUGGGGGAUAAAGGCUUCGGGAAUGUGGCUCUCUCCGGGGAGUGUUAUAGCCCGCUGCGUAAUACCCUGUGGCGGACUGAGGUUCGCGCAUUCGCAAGGAUGCUGGCGUAAUGGUCAUCAGUGACCCGUCUUGAAACACGGACCAAGGAGUCGUCUUCGUAUGCGAGUGUUCGGGUGUCAAACCCCUACGCGAAAUGAAAGUGAACGCAGGUGAGAGCUUCGGCGCAUCAUCGACCGAUCCUGAUGUUAUCGGAUGGAUUUGAGUAAGAGCAUACGGGGCCGGACCCGAAAGAAGGUGAACUAUGCCUGUGUAGGGUGAAGCCAGAGGAAACUCUGGUGGAGGCUCGCAGCGGUUCUGACGUGCAAAUCGAUCGUCAAAACAUGGGCAUGGGGGCGAAAGACUAAUCGAAC
rnacentral:rRNA from 1 species